ACUCAACAAGAAUUAAUUAAAAAGGGUGAGUUUAAGUUGUAAAAGCGCGCUGCCAUUAUGAGCAGAUUCUUGAUCAAUUUGUUAGCCCUAAACCUGUUUUUACAGAGUUU
rnacentral:sRNA from 1 species